AUGUACAGAAUGCAAAUCCAAUUGAUGGGGAGAAUUCUAUUCCAACUGAUGUACAAAAUACAACGCAUAGUGCUGGGGAGAAGUCUGUUCCAACUCAGAGUGCUGUUGUGGCUAACUCAAAGAAAUAGAAAGGAAAUAAGCCAGUUAUCAAAAGAUGGCAAAGUGAAAGGAUUAAGUUGA